CCUACGGGUGGCAGCAGUGGGGAAUAUUGCACAAUGGGGGAAACCCUGAUGCAGCGACGCCGCGUGAGUGAAGAAGUAUUUCGGUAUGUAAAGCUCUAUCAGCAGGGAAGAAAUAGCGACCUUUGGGUCGCCAGACGGUACCAGAUUAAGAAGACCCGGCGAACUACGUGCCAGCAGCAGCGGUAAUACGUAGGGGGCAAGGGGUAUCCGGAUUUACUGGGUGGAAAGGGAGCGUAGACGGCAGGGUAAGUCUGAAGUGAAAUGCCGGGGCUUAACCCCGGAACUGCUGUGGAAACUGGGCAGCUAGAGUGCAGGAGAGGUAAGUGGAAUUCCUAGUGUAGCGGUGAAAUGCGUAGAUAUUAGGAGGAACACCAGUGGCGAAGGCGGCUUACUGGACUGUAACUGACGUUGAGGCUCGAAAGCGUGGGGAGCAAACAGGAUUAGAUACCCGAGUAGUC
rnacentral:rRNA from 1 species